rnacentral:sRNA from 1 species
GAGACCAAGCUCCAGCUGUUUGUCAAGGCGAGUGAGGACGGGGAGAGCGUGGGUCACUGCCCCUCCUGCCAGCGGCUCUUCAUGGUCCUGCUCCUCAAGGGCGUACCCUUCACCCUCACCACGGUGGACACGCGCAGGUGAGGCCCCAUCCUGCGGACCCCCGCCUGGCCUUGCACACUGGUGGGCUGGCCUCCCACCCCGCUGCUGCCCGCAGGUCCCUGGACGUGCUGAAGGACUUCGCCCCCGGCUCGCAGCUGCCCAUCCUGCUCUAUGACAGCGACGCCAAGACAGACACGCUGCAGAUCGAGGACUUUCUGGAGGAGACGCUGGGGCCGCCCGACUUCCCCAGCCUGGCGCCUCGUUACAGGGAGUCCAACACCGCCGGCAACGACGUUUUCCACAAGUUCUCCGCGUUCAUCAAGAACCCGGUGCCCGCGCAGGACGAAGGUGAAGCGGGGUCAGGGGGUUGGGUGCCCAGGAGGGAGGGCGCCCUGGGCCGGGUCCUCACCGCGCCACCUGCCCCUAGCCCUGUACCAGCAGCUGCUGCGCGCCCUCGCCAGGCUGGACAGCUACCUGCGCGCGCCCCUGGAGCAUGAGCUGGCGCUGGAGCCGCAGCUGCGCGAGUCCCGCCGCCGCUUCCUGGACGGCGACCGGCUCACGCUGGCUGACUGCAGCCUCCUGCCCAAGCUGCACAUCGUAGACACGGUGUGCGCGCACUUCCGCCAGGCGCCCAUCCCCGCGGAGCUGCGCGGCGUCCGCCGCUACCUGGACAGCGCGCUGCAGGAGAAGGAGUUCAAAUACACGUGUC